rnacentral:rRNA from 1 species
UACGGAGGGUGCAAACGUUGUUCGGAAUUAUUGGGCGUAAAGCGCACGUAGGCGGACCGUUAAGUCGGAUGUGAAAGCCCUCGGCUUAACCGAGGAAGUGCAUUCGAAACUGACGGUCUUGAGUAUGGAAGAGGGUCGCGGAAUUCCCGGUGUAGAGGUGAAAUUCGUAGAUAUCGGGAGGAACACCAGUGGCGAAGGCGGGUCUCUGGGCAUCUCCUGACGCUGAGGCGCGAAAGCGUGGGGAGCAAACGGG